GCUCCGAUAGCUCAGUCGUUAGAGCACCACUCUGGAAUCGUGAAGGGGCGGGUUCAAUUCCCCCGCAGCGCA